rnacentral:rRNA from 1 species
UGCCAGCCGCCGCGGUAAUACGGAGGGGGUCAGCGUUGUUCGGAAGCGCUGGGCGUAAAGCGCACGUAGGCGGAUCAGAAAGUAUAGGGUGAAAUCCCAGGGCUCAACCCUGGAACUGCCUUAUAAACUCCUGGUCUUGAGUUCGAGAGAGGUGAGUGGAAUUCCGAGUGUAGAGGUGAAAUUCGUAGAUAUUCGGAGGAACACCAGUGGCGAAGGCGGACCACUGGCUCGAUACUGACGCUGAGGUGCGAAAGUGUUGGGAGCAAACAGGAUUAGAUA